AGUGAACGCUGGCGGUAGGCCUAACGCAUGCAAGUCGAACGGCAGCACAGUAAGAGCUUGCUCUUACGGGUGGCGAGUGGCGGACGGGUGAGGAAUACAUCGUAAUCUACUUUUUCGUGGGGGAUAACGUAGGGAAACUUACGCUAAUACCGCAUACGACCUACGGGUGAAAGCAGGGGAUCUUCGGACCUUGCGCGAUUGAAUGAGCCGAUGUCGGAUUAGCUAGUUGGCGGGGUAAAGGCCCACCAAGGCGACGAUCCGUAGCUGGUCUGAGAGGAUGAUCAGCCACACUGGAACUGAGACACGGUCCAGACUCCUACGGGAGGCAGCAGUGGGGAAUAUUGGACAAUGGGCGCAAGCCUGAUCCAGCCAUACCGCGUGGGUGAAGAAGGCCUUCGGGUUGUAAAGCCCUUUUGUUGGGAAAGAAAAGCAGCAGGUUAAUACCCCGCUGUUCUGACGGUACCCAAAGAAUAAGCACCGGCUAACUUCGUG
rnacentral:rRNA from 1 species